ACCUGCCCUCCUGGCCUUAACACUCUACAUCUAAUCGUGAAUCUGGGUUUAAAGUUUCCACACAUGUAUAAUCUUCCUUGGUGCUGAGCCUGUCACCUUUAUGAAAUCAAAAAUAACAAAUAUUUUGUACA